rnacentral:misc_RNA from 1 species
UUUCCGUAGGUGAACCUGAGGAAGGAUCAUUAUUGUAUAACCGAGGUGCGAGGGCUGUCGCUGACCCAGAAGGUCGUGCACGCCCGAGUGCCCUCACACACAUCCAUCUCACCCCUAUGUGCACCACCGCGUGGGUCCCCCUUUGGCUUGUUCGGAGGGGGGCUUGCGUUUUCACACAAACUUUGUAUGCAGUGUAGAAUGUAUUUUUUGUUUUUGCGAUCACGCAAUCAAUACAACUUUCAACAACGGAUCUCUUGGCUCUC